GGCCUCCUAAUGCUUACUACAGACUGUUUUCUUUACACUGACUGUAUAGAAUGAAGAGAUACAGUAAAUGCACCCCAUAUUCACCUCAGUCCAGGCCCUUUGCCUGGUCUUAUUGUGAAUGGGGGGACAUGG